rnacentral:lncRNA from 1 species
CUGGAUGCUAAGUCUGAGCUUACAUGGAUCCCAGGGAGGUGGGCAGGCUUGUGCAGCUGAGGGUCCCAGCUGAGGCAAUGGCAGGCUACAGGUGCCCUUAGGGCUGUCACACAUGGAGGUGCUUUGGUUUAAAUUGGACAUAACGCAUAGGAGUAGGGCUACUUAGGUUCUGGUUGGGUGGUUCUUCCUUUUUGAGUGCCUGCUCUGAUAGUGCUGAAUGUAUGGGGAGGAAUAUUCAGACUGGCUACAGCUCCCCAAGUGUCUGUUUGUCUUUCCUUUGAAACUACAAUGUGGUGGAUUCAGCAACAUGAGUUCUUCAGGUGCAAAAGAAAAUCCGACAUCUUCGCUCACAAGGAGAGAUGCCUGGACAGGGUUUACAGUCCAUCAACGCCGUAAGAGCAGGGGUGAUGUAAGACAAGGCGACAGCACUCAAGCCCAAAACCUGACGGAUGGACUCUCUUGGAAGGAAGGGAUUCUUCUUUCCAAUUCCUUCAGUUUGGGGACCUGACGUGGUCCCUUCCAAACUGAGGAUACCUGCUUAAGGUGGUUGCAUCUUACAUAGCAGGCCCAUCUCAGAAGUGAGAUUUGAGGAAGAAUAUUAAGUCCUUCAGAAGACCGUGGAGCUGGAGGAUGUCAUGGGGAAUCCCUUCCAUCUCUGUAGGAUAAACUCUGUUUCUUCUGAAGCUGGAAUCUUACAAGUCUCAUGGUGGCUCUAUACAGAAAGUGGAGCACUUGGAAAAUAGCCUUUCCUUUUCUCCGAUCCUCUUCCCCCUUUCUUCCUAAAGUAGCAAACCUUUUGCAGAAGAAUGGUAUGACAGGUCUUCAAGAACCAAGUCUUUAUAUAGUGGGAGUUUCUAUCAAAAAAUACCAAAGAUGACUUUGUACUGAAACCUUGUGAUAGCUUGUCUUCCUUCAGGGAAAAGAAGGCAAAAUAAAAGCAUCUAGUCUCAUGGAUGCA